rnacentral:rRNA from 1 species
CUGUCUCAUUCGGAUUGGAGGUCUGCAACUCGACUCCAUGAAGCUGGAUUCGCUAGUAAUCGCGCAUCAGCCAUGCCGCGGUGAAUACGUUCCCGGGCCUUGUACACACCGCCCGUCACACCAUGGGAGCCGGUAAUACCCGAAGUCAGUAGUCCAACCUCGUGAGGACGCUGCCGAAGGUAGGAUUGGCGACUGGGGUGAAGUCGUAACAAGGUAAC